rnacentral:rRNA from 1 species
GACGAACGCUGGCGGCGUGCUUAACACAUGCAAGUCGAACGGAAAGGCCCUGCUUUUGUGGGGUGCUCGAGUGGCGAACGGGUGAGUAACACGUGAGUAACCUGCCCUUGACUUUGGGAUAACUUCAGGAAACUGGGGCUAAUACCGGAUAGGAGAUCCUGCUGCAUGGUGGGGGUUGGAAAGUUUCGGCGGUUGGGGCUGGACUCGCGGCUUAUCAGCUUGUUGGUGGGGUAGUGGCUUACCAAGGCUUUGACGGGUAGCCGGCCUGAGAGGGUGACCGGCCACAUUGGGCCUGAGGUACGGCCCAGACUCCUACGGGAGGCAGCAGUGGGGAAUAUUGCACAAUGGGCGGAAGCCUGAUGCAGCAGCGCCGCGUUCGGGAUGACGGCCUUCGGGUUGUAAACCGCUUUCGCCUGUGACGAAGCGUGAGUGACGGUAAUGGGUAAAGAAGCACCGGCUAACUACGUG